UGACGUACCCUUUGGGUCAAAAGUACAGAUACGCCAACAGCUUAAAAUAGAUAUCACAGCGGUGACAAAAUUGUUACCGCGGUGACAUUUUUGUCACUGCGGUAAUAAAUUUAUCACUGCGGUGAUAUAUUUGUAACUGUUGUGAUACUUUGUUUGACCCAAACAGUUUGAUAAGAGCUAAAUCGAACUAACCAAUGAAACAACGUCUUGCAAAACGGCAAAUCGGCGAAUAUUUACUGCGAAGUUUUCAAGAUGUCUGCCUCCAUGGAUACUGUAAACAACUUUUCAGAUCAUGAGUUUGGUAAUUUUAAUCUUCGGACACAAGGAUGACGACAAUUAAGAGUCCAUCAAUGGUUGUGAAAUCAAGGAUAUUCUAUUGGAAGGAAAGACAUGAAUGCAUUCAAGUUUCCUGUGAGCAAUAUGAUUUCCUGACUUUGCCUUACAGUAUAAAACAAGAGAGUUAAACACUUGAAACUUGAAAAGAUGUGGUCCUAGAACCUGAAAUGGCAACUCCAGCUCUCUAUAAAAGCAUCAUCUGGAAUCCAACUAUGUACAAUCAAAAAAUUAAUGUGUGUCUUAAUUUUGUCUUUUUAGAGCCCUGACGGGUCUUAAGAUAUCAGAUGUUUUAAAAUUCAUUGUGUUUGUGCUGCAAGUUUUAUGAACUGGUUAUAAAGCUUAUGCAUGCAGAACCGUUUACUGCCUGGUUAGCUGCAGUAGAGCACUCAUAGGAAUUGGGAGAUCUGUGGAAUCCCUUUGUGGCUUGCAAAUUUCAACCUGUUUUCAAAAAUUGCUUAGUUGGUCAGUGUGUUAAUAUUUCAAUUUUCAGGUCUGGUAAAGAAAGUUAUUUAAAGGCAGUGUGCAAGGUUUUCCUUAAUAAUAGCAUGUACACAGGAAAAAAAAGCUUAAUAUUAGAUAUUUUGUUAUAAUCAGUUUGUGGUCCGUCCAUAGCUAAACAUGAACAUAGAUAUUUUUUACUUUUAUUAGUACUAUAUACAUAUUAUAAAUAAAAGGUUGUAUCUUGCAUCUUCUAAUCCUUAAAGUGGCAUGGUGGCCUAGUGUGUGUGUUGUUUAUCUAUGAAAUUUAUACAUGUAUACUAAUAUCUAGGCUACAUUAUGAUGUACUUCUCAAAGAACAGUAUGUUUAAAAUGCAGGUUUAUACUAAUUUAAAUACAGGUACAAAUUAAUCCUGUGUUGUAUAUAGCAGAAUGUCCCUUAUUUUCACUGUUAUCUUUUAAAACUGUUCAGGUACACUUCACCUGCAUAAAACUAGUUCAGAUAUAUAUGUCCCAUAGAGCAAAACAAUUGUCACUAAAUCAUUGUAUAAUCGUUAUUGGCAGUUCACUUCUGUAGUUUCUGAAAUGAAAAAUUGUUGUUACCUACCUUCACUCUUAAUUCAGUUUUAGUGGAAUGCUUAAUUUCAUUUUUUUUUCUUUAUUAGUUGUAAGUAGUGGGCUCUGUGUUCUGAUUAGUUCCUAAAUUGAACACAUGUUUAAACGUCGGUUGUUAAAUUGUAUAACAUGUUAAUGCAGAAUUGUACCAUAACAUGAAAUUGUAUUUUUUGCUUUGUACAUUGUUUGAAAUGUUACCAUCUUGUUUCUAAUAAAUGUUUUUUAUAAUUCACCAUCUAGUCCUAUUUGCAAAAAAGUGAACCAUUUAAAUAUUGUAUUUAAAGUAUACACCCGUUAGCCUUACUUAAGUCGUGAACAUUUCGUAGGCAUUUGUUAUCCCCAGUAAUAGGCGGAGGGAUAUUGUUUUGGCGCUGUUUGUCCGUCCUUCCGUCCGUCCGGCACUUUUGUGUCCAGAGCCAUAUCUUGUUAGUGCUUUAGCGGAUUUCAUUGAAACUUGGUAUGAGUAUAUUAUAUGGAUAAGAGGAUGAUGUACACUUUGUAUCUUGAAAAAAAUGCUUUUUAAUAUAAUCUUAGAGCUUUAUCUUCACUAACACAUGAGCCAGAGCCAUGAAACUUGCCAUAGUUGUUCUCAAUCAUCUAGGGGUGCUUCACAUUCAACAUCCAUAAUUCUAGGGGCUAAGGUCAUGGCCCUUUGUAUCUUGAAAAAAAUGCUUUUUGAUAGAAGCUUAGAGCUUUAUCUUCAUUAACACAUGAGCCAGAGCCAUGCAACUUUCUAUAGUUAUUCCAAUCAUCUGGGGUUGUUUCACAUUCAACACCCAUAAUCCUAGGGGCUAAGGUCAAGGUCACACAUUGAGGUCAAAGGUCACAAAUUUGAGGAAUUAUUCAUUAAUUGGUAAUUCCUUUACUAUGCAUCAAGGAAUUCUGUUAUAACUGUCACAAUUGUUCUCAAUUAUCUAGCUGAGUUUCAAAUAUAAGAUCCAGGUUGCUAGGGUCAUGGUCAAAGUCACACACAAAGGUCAAAAUCACACAUUUUGAUCAUAUAUAUAU